GUUUGAAAAUUCAGACACAACUUUCUUUAGUUUGAUUAUGGGCAUGAAUGGAUAAUUGGGAAUACAGAUUUCACUUAUCUUUAAAUAAAGCUUAUUAUCUGCCUGUUAUUCCAUUCCAACACUUAUAGAUGCUUUUGUAUUUCCAUCUGCAGCCUGCAGGAGUAUCGGCAAGGACUGCAACAGGGGGAUUCACAGCCAACGAUUGAUGCAUUUCAGCAACAACCAUUACAAGUUCAAGUUUAUAAUGCUAGUUCAUCAAGGCAGCAGGCUAUCCACCAAAUGAUCAUCCAUGACCUUAUCAUUGGCUGCUGUCUACCUAUAUCAAUCGUGGAAAAUGAACAUUUCUGAAAUUUUCUACGCACCAUGGAUGAAAGGUACACCCCAAUCUCCAGAACAACGAUAACCAGCAAAGAGAUACCUCAACUAGUGAUGAGAGUGAAAGGGUGCAUCAAGUCCAGUCUAGUAGAUCAGAAAUCAAUCUCUAUAACUGCUGAUAUAUGGUCAGACCGCACAAUGAGAUCUUAACUUGGAGUUACAGCUCAUGUUCUCAACUCUUCAGCCAGUGGGUACACUCUGAAGUCCUACCUGCUUGACUGCAGGAGAUUCAAAGGGCGUCACAGCUCUGAAAACAUUUCAGCUGCAUUUGAUGAAAUACUUGAGGAAUACAAUAUCAGUGAUAAGGUAGAUUUUAUCAUCACUGAUAAUGCAGCUAACAUGAAGAAGGCUUUUAACGUCAUUAUGGCAGACCACUCAGAUGAUAGUGAGGAUGACAGUGAGCAGGAGGAGGACAUGGUUGGGGAACAGCUAGAUACAGACAUUGUCCUUGGUUCCCGUCAACGGCUAUCCUGCUUUGCCCACAGUCUUCAACUGGUUAUUGGGGAUGGGAUGAAAGAAGUAAAAGUGAUGUCUCGGGCACUCUCAAAAAUAGCCAAACGUGCCAGUCUUCUGCAUAGUAGCACUGUCUUUAAGGAUCGGUUUGAGGCUGUUUUUGGAAGUGGUAAAAGCAUUCCAGUCUCAAAUGUCACAAGGUGGAAUUCGCAGUUCAGACAAAUACAAGCAGUCAUCGAAUUAGAUCAUACUGCACUAACUCAGAUGUGCUCAGUGGACUUUGCAAAUGUUGUCCUCAGCUCACGUGAAUGGGCCCAGUGUAGAGAACUUACACUAAUUCUUGAACCGUUUGCUGAGGCCACUGAAUUGACAGAGGGUGACAAAAUUGUUACCAUCAGCAUGGUUGUCCCUACUGUCCUCGAGCUACAUUCUCACUUAUCAGAUAUGGAUAGUGAAAAGAGACUAUGUAGGCCACUGACCAGGGCCCUCAGAGCCUCACUUAAAAGAGAGGAAAGAUUUGCCAUUUGGCCAUGAUAUAUAUAUGCAGGGAGCGAUGCUGGACCCUCAGUUCGGGUUGAACUGGGUCGAGUUGGAUGUCAGGACCAGUGGCAGUGCUACCACCAUACAACGUACAAAGAAGGAACUGCAGAAGUCACUAACAGACAGCUUGAUCGCUCAGGCUAAGAAAGUGGACCUGGACAUCUGUGAGGAACUCACAGAACCAACCCAGGAUUCUCCCCCAAACGCCAAGAUUCCACGGCUCCUGGCAAAAUAUAAAACUCACAAAAAGAACAAUUCCACCCAUGGAUAUCAUCCAAGUGUCAACAGUGAGGUGUCCCCAACCAUGGCAACCUUGACAGGAACUACAAGGAGGCGGACAUUGUGCAGACAUUUUCCCAUCAACAGACCCCAACUAAG